UACGUAGGGUGCGAGCGUUGUCCGGAAUUAUUGGGCGUAAAGGGCUCGUAGGCGGUUUGUCGCGUCGGGAGUGAAAACUCAGGGCUUAACUCUGAGCCUGCUUCCGAUACGGGCAGACUAGAGGUAUGCAGGGGAGAACGGAAUUCCUGGUGUAGCGGUGAGAUGCGCAGAUAUCAGGAGGAACACCGGUGGCGAAGGCGGUUCUCUGGGCAUUACCUGACGCUGAGGAGCGAAAGUGUGGGGAGCGAACAGG
rnacentral:rRNA from 1 species